rfam:TPA: Bos taurus chromosome 7, whole genome shotgun sequence.
UCCCUCGUGGCUCAGAGGAUAAAGCAUCUGCCUGCCAUGUGGGAGACCCAGGUUCAAUCCCUGGGUUGGGAA